UGAAGAUCUGGUUGAUUCUGCCAGAGGCCACUGCUAUCGGAGUUCGAUUAAGCCAUGCGAGUCGAGAGGUGCAAGACCUCGGCAUACUGCUCAGUAACACGUGGACAAUCUAACCUAUGGAGGGGGAUAACCCCGGGAAACUGGGGAUAAUACCCCAUAGACUAUGGAUGCUGGAAUGCUCUGUAGUUGAAAGGUCCGCCGCCAUAGGAUGGGUCUGCGGCCGAUUAGGUUGUUGUUGGGGUAACGGCCCAACAAGCCUGUAAUCGGUACGGGUUGUGGGAGCAAGAGCCCGGAGAUGGAUUCUGAGACACGAAUCCAGGCCCUACGGGGCGCAGCAGGCGCGAAAACUUUACAAUGCGGGAAACCGUGAUAAGGGAACUCCGAGUGCCCGUAAAAUCGGGCUGUCCAUCGGUUUAAAUAACCGGUGAAGAAAGGGCCGGGCAAGACCGGUGCCAGCCGCCGCGGUAAUACCGGCGGCUCGAGUGGUGGCCACUAUUACUGGGCUUAAAGCGUUCGUAGCUGGUCUGUUAAGUCUCUGGGGAAAUCUGCCGGCUUAACCGGCAGGCGUUCCAGGGAUACUGGCAGACUAGGGACCGGGAGAGGUGAGGGGUACUCCAGGGGUAGGAGUGAAAUCCUGUAAUCCUUGGGGGACCACCUGUGGCGAAGGCGCCUCACCAGAACGGCUCCGACAGUGAGGGACGAAAGCUGGGGGAGCAAACCGGAUUAGAUACCCGGGUAGUCCCAGCU
rnacentral:rRNA from 1 species